AUCUACGGCCAUGCCACCCUGAACAUGCCUGAUCCUGUCUGAUCUUGGAAGCUAAGCAGGGUCGGGCCUAGUUAGUACUUGGAUGGGAGACCACCUAGGAAGACUGGGUGCUUUCGGCG
rnacentral:rRNA from 1 species